UUGGAUUUGAGGAGCACAUUUUAUUUUGCAAUGCCAGAAAACUAACAUAAUUUAAAUAAACAAAAAAAAUCACUAUUCAAAACCCAUACAUGGGAGAUUUGUUACUAAAAUGGUAAGGGACAAGGACAACACGGUAAAGGAGCCAUAGAGAGUGACAAGGAAAACAUUGUACCAUUCACAGAAACAAUUUGAAUAUACUUAAUACAUUCGUUUCACAUGAAAUACUUAAGCCUGUAUAUAUUCACAUUCUGGAAGCCAAGAGACAGCUUUAAUUUUCAACUUAUUUUAUGUGCAUGUUUUGCCUGCAAGUAUGUCAGUCUACCAUGUGUGUGUUUGUGCUUUCUGAGGCCAGAAGAGGAGGGACACCAGGUCUCCUCAAACUGGAGUUACAGAUGGUUGUAAGCUGCCAUGAGGAUUCUGGGAAUUGAAUUUGGAUCCUCUGGACAAGUGACCAGUACUCUUAACUGCUAAGGCAUCUUUCUAGCCCUAAAGUCUUUAAUCUUUCAAUGUGUUUUAUUAUUUAAAGUAGGCAAAAGAAAAAAA
rnacentral:lncRNA from 1 species